rnacentral:rRNA from 1 species
UACGGGGGGGGUAAGCGUUGUUCGGAAUUACUGGGCGUAAAGGGCUCGUAGGCGGCCAACUAAGUCAGACGUGAAAUCCCUCAGCUUAACUGGGGAACUGCGUCUGAUACUGGAUGGCUUGGAUUCGGGAGAGGAAUGCGGAAUUCCUGGUGUAGCGGUGAAAUGCGCAGAUAUCAGGAGGAACACCGGUGGCGAAGGCGGUUCUCUGGGCAUUACCUGACGCUGAGGAGCGAAAGUGUGGGGAGCGAACAGG